rnacentral:misc_RNA from 1 species
CUCAAUUUCUUGAUUUUGUUAACUUACUGGAGAGAUUUAUUUGAACAUCAGCUAUUACUCCUAUUUCUGCGUGAGCCUGCCGUCCUUACUCUUUUCUUUAUAGGAUUAGGUUGUCUCUGUGAUCUGACAAGAAAAUGGCUGAGGAGAAGAUCGCUAUUGCUAAAGAUGUUACUGAGCUGAUUGGUAAAACGCCACUGGUAUAUCUCAACCAUGUUGUGGAUGGCUGUGUGGCUCGCAUUGCUGCUAAGCUAGAGCUGAUGGAACCUUGUUCAAGUGUUAAAGAUAGGAUUGGAUAUAGCAUGAUUGCAGAUGCAGAGGAGAAAGGUCUCAUCAAGCCGGGUGAGAGUGUCCUCAUUGAGCCCACAAGUGGCAAUACUGGCAUAGGGCUGGCAUUCAUGGCAGCUGCUAAGGGGUACAAGCUCAUAAUUACAAUGCCUGCUUCUAUGAGUCUAGAAAGAAGAAUGGUUCUUCGUGCUUUUGGAGCUGAGCUGGUUCUUACUGAUCCAGCAAGGGGCAUGAAAGGGGCUGUUCAGAAGGCGGAGGAAAUAUUAGCUAAGACACCAAAUUCUUAUAUCCUGCAGCAAUUUGAAAACCCUGCCAACCCAAAGAUCCACUAUGAGACCACUGGACCAGAGAUCUGGAAAGGCUCAGGUGGAAAAGUUGAUGCUCUUGUUUCUGGGAUUGGGACUGGGGGUACAGUGACAGGUGCAGGGCAGUAUCUUAAGGAGCAAAACCCUGAUAUUAAGCUUUAUGGUGUAGAGCCAGUUGAAAGUGCUGUGUUGUCAGGAGGGAAACCUGGCCCACAUAAGAUCCAAGGAAUUGGUGCUGGCUUUAUUCCUGGAGUUUUGGACGUUGGUAUACUUGAUGAAGUUGUUCAAAUAUCAAGUGAAGAAUCAAUUGAAACUGCUAAGCUUCUUGCCUUGAAAGAAGGGUUGCUGGCAGGGAUAUCUUCUGGUGCUGCUGCAGCUGCAGCAAUUAGGAUCGCAAAGAGGCCUGAAAAUGCUGGAAAACUCAUUGUUGUGGUCUUCCCCAGCUUUGGAGAACGUUACCUAUCAUCUGUGCUUUUUGAAUCUGUGAAGCAUGAAGCAGAGAACAUGACUUUUGAGCCUUGAGGUAUAGAGAGGAUGGGCUAAGAGGAGCAAUACUGUCUACGGUUUCAAUGAUUUACUUGUUCCUAGUUUCCUAAUCAGAACAAUGUGGGGUCUUUUCUGCUCUUUGUAUCGUAUUAAGGAAAGCUUGUGGGUUGACUUGCAACUGUUGUGAUGAAUAAUAAAUUUUUGGCCAAAACAUUGAGAAACAAGUGAUUAUCUUUCCUUAAAGGAAUGUUACAUAGAUUCACCCAUAGAUUUUCUUUCCUUUUCGAAUAAUUCACCUGUAGUUUUAUUUUAGGAUAUCAUUGAUCUAUGGUUGUUUACUUACAACAAGCCCAUUGUAUUUCUUUCACUUUUUAAAGAGAGUUCAUCCACCCAUA